rnacentral:rRNA from 1 species
AGAGUUUGAUCCUGGCUCAGGAUGAACGCUAGCUACAGGCUUAACACAUGCAAGUCGAGGGGCAGCAUGACCUAGCAAUAGGUUGAUGGCGACCGGCGCACGGGUGAGUAACACGUAUCCAACCUACCGGUUAUUCCGGGAUAGCCUUUCGAAAGAAAGAUUAAUACCGGAUAGUAUAACGAGAAGGCAUCUUCUUGUAUUAAAGAAUUUCGAUAACCGAUGGGGAUGCGUUCCAUUAGUUGUUGGCGGGUAACGCCCACAAGACAUCGAUGGAUAGGGGUUCUGAGAGGAAGGUCCCCCCACAUUGGAACUGAGACACGGUCCAAACUCCUACGGGAGCA